UACAGAGGGUGCGAGCGUUAAUCGGAAUUACUGGGCGUAAAGCGCGCGCAGGCGGUCGUUCAAGUCGAGUGUGAAAGCCCCCGGCUCAACUGGGGAGGGUCACUCGAUACUGAUCGACUCGAAGGCAGAAGAGGGAAGCGGAAUUCCCGGUGUAGUGGUGAAAUGCGUAGAUAUCGGGAGGAACACCAGUGGCGAAGGCGGCUUUCUGGUCUGCUCUUGACGCUGAGGCGCGAAUGCUAGGGUAGCAAACGGG
rnacentral:rRNA from 1 species